UACGAAGGGGGCUAGCGUUGUUCGGAAUUACUGGGCGUAAAGCGCACGUAGGCGGCUUUGCAAGUCGGAUGUGAAAUCCCUCGGCUCAACCAAGGAAGUGCAUCCGAAACUGCAGAGCUUGAGUACUUAAGAGGAUCGCGGAAUUCCCGGUGUAGAGGUGAAAUUCGUAGAUAUCGGGAGGAACACCAGUGGCGAAGGCGGCGAUCUGGGAAGAUACUGACGCUGAGGUGCGAAAGCGUGGGGAGCAAACAGG
rnacentral:rRNA from 1 species